rnacentral:rRNA from 1 species
UACGUAGGGGGCAAGCGUUGUCCGGAUUUAUUGGGCGUAAAGAGCGUGUAGGCGGCCUGGUAGGUCAGUUGUGAAAACUCGAGGCUCAACCUCGAGACGCCGAUUGAAACCACCAGGCUAGAGUCCGGAAGAGGAGAGUGGAAUUCCCGGUGUAGCGGUGAAAUGCGCAGAUAUCGGGAAGAACACCCGUGGCUAAGGCGGCUCUCUAGUACGGUACUGACGCUGAGACGCGAGAGCGUGGGGAGCGAACAGG